rnacentral:rRNA from 1 species
GGAGGCAUGAGCUACACAUGCAGUGAGGGGUACAGGGAUUGCUUGCAAUCCGCUGACGACCGGCGCACGGGUGCGUAACGCGUAUGCAACCUACCUUUUACUGGGGGAUAGUCAAGAGAAAUUUUGAAUAAUACCCCAUACGAUCUGAUUCACUCCUGUGAAACAGAAGAAAAUUCCGAUGGUAAAAGAUGGGCAUGCGUCCUAUUAGUUUGUUGGUGAGGUAACGGCUCACCAAGACUACGAUAGGUAGGGGUCCUGAGAGGGAGAUCCCCCACACUGGUACUGAGACACGGACCAGACUCCUACGGGAGGCAGCAGUGAGGAAUAUUGGACAAUGGAGGCAACUCUGAUCCAGCCAUGCCGCGUGCAGGAAGACGGCCCUAUGGGUUGUAAACUGCUUUUAUACAGGAAGAAACGUUAGUACGUGUACUAGCCUGACGGUACUGUAAGAAUAAGGAUCGGCUAACUCCGUGCCAGCAGCCGCGGUAAUACGGAGGAUCCAAGCGUUAUCCGGAAUCAUUGGGUUUAAAGGGUCCGCAGGCGGUCUGAUAAGUCAGAGGUGAAAUCCUAUCGCUCAACGAUAGAACUGCCUUUGAUACUGUUAGACUUGAGUUAUUGUGAAGUAGUUAGAAUGUGUAGUGUAGCGGUGAAAUGCAUAGAUAUUACACAGAAUACCGAUUGCGAAGGCAGAUUACUAACAAUAUACUGACGCUCAUGGACGAAAGCGUGGGUAGCGAACAGGAUUAGAUACCCUGGUAGUCCACGCCGUAAACGAUGGUCACUAGCUGUUUGAUGCACAUUGGUGUGUUGAGUGGCUAAGCGAAAGUGAUAAGUGACCCACCUGGGGAGUACC